rnacentral:rRNA from 1 species
AACGAACGCUGGCGGCAUGCCUAACACAUGCAAGUCGAACGAGAUCUUCGGGUCUAGUGGCGCACGGGUGCGCAACGCGUGGGAAUCUGCCCUUUGGUUCGGAAUAACAGUUGGAAACGACUGCUAAUACCGGAUGAUGACGAAAGUCCAAAGAUUUAUCGCCAGAGGAUGAGCCCGCGUAGGAUUAGCUAGUUGGUGUGGUAAGGGCGCACCAAGGCGACAAUCCUUAGCUGGUCUGAGAGGAUGAUCAGCCACACUGGGACUGAGACACGGCCCAGACUCCUACGGGAGGCAGCAGUGGGGAAUAUUGGACAAUGGGCGAAAGCCUGAUCCAGCAAUGCCGCGUGAGUGAUGAAGGCCUUAGGGUUGUAAAGCUCUUUUACCCGGGAUGAUAAUGACAGUACCGGGAGAAUAAGCUCCGGCUAACUCCGUGCCAGCCGCCGCAGUAA